rnacentral:rRNA from 1 species
GUGGGGAAUAUUCCGCAAUGGACGAAAGUCUGACGGAGCAACGCCGCGUGAGUGAUGAAGGUUUUCGGACUGUAAAGCUCUGUUGUUUAGGACGAAAGUGCCUGUUGCGAACAGUUACGGGUAUUGACGGUACUAAACGAGGAAGCCACGGCUAACUACGUGCCAGCAGCCGCGGUAAUACGUAGGUGGCAAGCGUUGUCCGGAAUUAUUGGGCGUAAAGAGCAUGUAGGCGGAGAUUUAAGUCUGUUGUGAAAAUGCGGGGCUCAACCCCGUAUUGCGAUGGAAACUGAAUUUCUUGAGUGCAGGAGAGGAAAGGGGAAUUCCCAGUGUAGCGGUGAAAUGCGUAGAUAUUGGGAGGAACACCAGUGGCGAAGGCGCCUUUCUGGACUGUGUCUGACGCUGAGAUGCGAAAGCCAGGGUAGCGAACGGGAUUAGAAACCCGGGUAGUCC